AAGAAGCCCACUACCCCGGCCUGACAAAAGAAACGCUCUCAGUACACCUGCAUCGCCACCUCACUCCACUCCAUCCACCUAGCGCCAUUCGCCGCCGCCGCACCUCGCCCCGGCCAUCCCCCACCCCCUACCUCGCGCCGGCCGCCCCGCCCUGUCUCGCACCGGUCGCCGCCGCCACACCUUGCCCCGGCCAUCCCCACCCCCGUCUCACGCCGGUGGCCCCAUCCCGUCUCGUGCCGGCUGCCCCCGCCCCAUCUCGUGACGCGCCGCCCCCACCUUCUAUUGCGGCCGCCAUGCCCACCUCCUGUCGCAGCUGCCGUCCUCACCUCCCGCCGCGGCCAUCACCCAGCAAGCUAACCAGCCGACCAACUGCGGAUAUCAAGCAUGACACCGGCCCGGAUCCCCCGCACACCAACGACCCCUUCCCAACGAGUUCCAGCGCCAACCAUCCCGGCGCUGCUCGUGAUCCCCUCCUCCAUCAGCUCCACUUCGCCACAGCCGCCAGUCCGAAGGAGUAAGGGGUAGCAUGUCCACUUCCUCUACUCACCGGCGCCCAAGAGACCGAUGUACUCUUCGAGCUUCUCUGCCAUCAGUGGCCGCUCCGCCCACCAGCCAGAGUGGAGAGUCCGAUCAUUUGCUGCUCAAAAUCCGACAACAAUCCAACAACAAUCGGAGGAGGAAUGCGCUACAAGCAAGUCCAUCAUCGAUGGCAAGGGAUUUCGGGAGAGUGGAGACCUGGAUGAGCACUUUUAGGCAUUAUUGGCCAUGACAAUAAAUGACAAGGAAGAACACUUUCAAUAGUCCAAGAAGACAACAACAACAACGAGAAAAAUGGAACGAUGCACCGUGCUGACAUUGGCGAAUAACUAUGAUUUUGUGCUCCUGUUUGUUGUUAUGUCAAUGAGAAACCAAUACUUCUCUUCUUCAGGUUUUGUGUUUUGAUCUGUGAGGGAUAAACAAAUUUUCCUAUUCAAGUGGAAGCUUCUAGUAUAUGAUGGAUGUGGGAUUUAUUCUUACAUGCACUGUUCAGUGCUUCUCUUUGUGUAAUGUUUUAUGUUUUCAAGUGCUCGAUGGAAAAUUAUAUACCUAGUAGUUCAUGUAUUAUUACCCGAGGAGUUCAUGUGUUACUGCCUAGUAAGUAAACCUAUUAAUGACUCCCGCAAGUGAUGGAAAAAAUGGGCAGUAAACUGAUGAGAAAAU